rnacentral:rRNA from 1 species
UUCCAGACUCCUACGGGAGGCAGCAGUGGGGAAUAUUGCACAAUGGGGGAAACCCUGAUGCAGCGACGCCGCGUGAGUGAAGAAGUAUUUCGGUAUGUAAAGCUCUAUCAGCAGGGAAGAAAAUGACGGUACCUGAUUAAGAAGCCCCGGCUAACUACGUGCCAGCAGCCGCGGUAAUACGUAGGGGGCAAGCGUUAUCCGGAUUUACUGGGUGUAAAGGGAGCGUAGACGGUGAUGCAAGUCAGAAGUGAAAGCCCGGGGCUCAACUCCGGGACUGCUUUUGAAACUGUGUGACUGGAGUGCAGGAGAGGUAAGCGGAAUUCCUGGUGUAGCGGUGAAAUGCGUAGAUAUCAGGAGGAACACCAGUGGCGAAGGCGGCUUACUGGACUGUAACUGACGUUGAGGCUCGAAAGCGUGGGGAGCAAACAGGAUUAGAUACCCGUGUAA